rnacentral:rRNA from 1 species
GUGAAAUUGUUGAAAGGGAAGCGCUUGCAGCCAGACGUGCCCGUAGUUGCUCAUCUGGGGUUCUCCCCAGUGCACUCUUCUAUGGGCAGGCCAGCAUCAGUUCGGGCGGUUGGAGAAAGACCUGUGUCACGUAGCUCUCUUCGGAGAGUGUUAUAGGGCAGGUGGAAUGCAACCAGCCUGAACUGAGGUCCGCGCAUCUGCUAGGAUGCUGGCGUAAUGGCUGUAAGCGGCCCGUCUUGAAACACGGACCAAGGAGUCUAACAUCUAUGCGAGUGUUUGGGUGUCAAGCCCGAGCGCGUAAUGAAAGUGAACGGAGGUGGGAACCCCUCGGGGCGCACCAUCGACCGAUCCUGAUGUCUUCGGAUGGAUUUGAGUAAGAGCAUAGCUGUUGGGACCCGAAAGAUGGUGAACUAUGCCUGAAUAGGGUGAAGCCAGAGGAAACUCUGGUGGAGGCUCGCAGCGGUUCUGACGUGCAAAUCGAUCGUCAAAUUUGGGCAUAGGGGCGAAAGACUAAUCGAACUAUCUAGUAGCUGGUUCCUGCCGAAGUUUCCCUCAGGAUAGCAGUAACGUUUUCAGUUUUAUGAGGUAAAGCGAAUGAUUAGAGGCCUGGGGGUUGAAACAACCUUCACCUAUUCUCAAACUUUAAAUAUGUAAGAAGUCCUUGUUUCUUAAUUGAACGUGGACAUUUGAAUGUAUCGUUACUAGUGGGCCAUUUUUGGUAAGCAGAACUGGCGAUGCGGGAUGAACCGAACGCGGGGUUAAGGUGCCAGAAUGCACGCUCAUCAGACACCACAAAAAG